rnacentral:rRNA from 1 species
CAUGGCUCAGAGUGAACGCUGGCGGCGUGCUUAACACAUGCAAGUCGAACGGAACCUUCGGGUUUAGUGGCGCACGGGUGAGUAAUGUAUAGCUAACAUGCCCUUUAGAGGGGGAUAACAGUUGGAAACGACUGCUAAUACCCCAUACUCCUUCUUACUUAAUGUAAGUUGGGAAAGUUUUUUCGCUAAAGGAUUGGGCUAUAUGGUAUCAGCUUGUUGGUGAGGUAAUGGCUCACCAAGGCUAUGACGCCUAACUGGUCUGAGAGGAUGAUCAGUCACACUGGAACUGAGACACGGUCCAGACUCCUACGGGAGGCAGCAGUGGGGAAUAUUACACAAUGGAGGAAACUCUGAUGUAGCAACGCCGCGUGGAGGAUGACACAUUUCGGAGCGUAAACUCCUUUUAUUAUGGGAA